rnacentral:rRNA from 1 species
UGGGGAAUUUUGGACAAUGGACGCAAGUCUGAUCCAGCCAUGCCGCGUGCGGGAAGAAGGCCUUCGGGUUGUAAACCGCUUUUGUCAGGGAAGAAACGAGUUUCUCUAAUACAGAGACUUAAUGACGGUACCUGAAGAAUAAGCACCGGCUAACUACGUGCCAGCAGCCGCGGUAAUACGUAGGGUGCGAGCGUUAAUCGGAAUUACUGGGCGUAAAGCGUGCGCAGGCGGUUAUAUAAGACAGAUGUGAAAUCCCCGGGCUCAGCCUGGGAACUGCAUUUGUGACUGUAUAGCUAGAGUACGGCAGAGGGGGAUGGAAUUCCGCGUGUAGCAGUGAAAUGCGUAGAUAUGCGGAGGAACACCGAUGGCGAAGGCAAUCCCCUGGGCCUGUACUGACGCUCAUGCACGAAAGCGUGGGGAGCAAACA